ACUGAAUGUCCUGCAACAACCAAACACACAGCCAUGAGGACAUUCACACUAUGCUCCUGCAGGUGAUGGCCAACAGCAGUCACCGGGAUCAGACGUUGCCUUUGGACCCAGAAGGUUGCUAUUGUCCUGGUAAUGACCUUCACUCAGUACAUACAGCAUUCAGAUGGACCUCUGCCAAAACCUGAGGAACUGGGUUGAACCUAGAAUAUCAAAUGCACAAUGUAAGGGACCCACAAGUACUGUAUAUAUCUCAUUUUCCUCCAAAAUAAUCACCAAAUACUAACUAGUAUUUUGUUAUUGAACUAAAGCAAACAAACUCACAUUUGAUGCUUGAGUUUAUUUGAAAGAAAACAUUAAAAUAAUGCAUAAAGGUCCAUAAAGGUUGGCUACCAUCAGGAACUUAGCUUUAGCAUAAUGCUAAACAGAUGCUUUCAGAGAAACAAGUAUUAAAGAGUCGCCUACAGAGUCUCAACUUGAAGUAGGGGAAGUCAUGUCUUGUACAUCCAUUUUAGGACACGUCACUAUCAGCUCGUACACAGAUAUUUUAGGUAUUGUGGGGAUUAGGUAGCAGAAGAGGUGUGCCCCUGUUUAUUUUCCACUCUGCGCUGUAUUUACUGUUUACUGAGAAGCAGCACUGUUGUUCAGACGUUCUGCGAUCAUGGACCAGUGGAAACCCUGGCUUGUUCUGCUUCUGCCGCUGUGUUUGUGUUUUGACACUGAAGGUACUGUGAGCUUUUAUUUCAUGCUGUUAAUGUAAGUUAUCCAGUUUUGCAGUUUGUUAGAAUUAUAUGAAGCUUUGUAAUAAUUGUCCUAACUUUGAGUUUUGAAUGUAUCUCACCAUCUACUGUACAUUGUUCCUAUUGUAGUGCAGAAUAAAUGAAUCAAAAAAGUUUUCUCCUAUCAAUUGCAGUGACUCUUGUGAAGACCAUCGGUAAAGAACAAGAUGUCACUCCAAUAUGCACCACUCGAGUGCUGCGAAUCCUCUCAGUUGUGUGUAAGAUCCGCACAGAAAGGACAAGGGGGAAAGGGUGUCGUCUGCUGUAUCAACAAGAAUGGGGCUUUGAGACCGAGUGUAACUCCAGGUUCACACUUACGAUGGAGAAUCAGACUGUGUUUCUCAACCUGACCAGUUUAACACCAGUGGAUAGUGGGAACUUCACCUGUGAGUGUUCACGUGCUGAGGGAAUACAUAUACUCCGACUGAAUAUCACCGUGGAAGCGUCACAUGAAGUGCAGAACAGCAGCAGUUCUUCUGGGACAUGGUCCAUCAUUGUGAUUGUUAUCGCCAUAUUCAUCAUUGUGCCUGGAGUUUUCCAUAGACGUAUCCUGAGAGAAACACGCUGCAGAGACGAUACACGGUUUGGAGCAUCCGGACAAUCUGUCUGUGAAACCCCCGGCUCUCUGGACACAGAUGACCCAGAAAACCCCUACGCAAGCCUUGAACAGCCAGGAAGUGAUAUAUACCAGAAUAUUUCAUCAGUACACCAUCAACACCACAGCAAGCUAAAGUCAUCCAGAAAGAAAACAGCGACCAGUUUUGAUCAGGAAAUAGAAAACGAGACUGAUCAAAAUUACGAAAUCUAUGAAAACCUUUGA
rnacentral:lncRNA from 15 species